GUGCAUUCGAGCCGAAUACUUCACCGUCUUGUUUCUGUAUAAUGUAACCGAGGAGAACUUGUGAUUCAGAGCGGCAAUUUCUGAAAGAAAUAAGGAUCUGGCUGCCAGAGAUUGUCGAAGAACUCAGGAGGCAGAGUCACGUAAUCGUCACCCUCUUCGAAGAUGUCCUCUGGCAUAUCGAGUCGAGUCUCUAUCCAACUCUGGCGAACGAACAUAUCCACUCUACUUAACAAGGAAUUUUAUUACUUAUGCGUGUCAAAUAAUAAGUAGAGUUUAAUUACUUCAA